UACAGAGGGUGCGAGCGUUGUUCGGAAUUAUUGGGCGUAAAGGGCGCGUAGGCGGUGCCACAAGUCACUUGUGAAAUCUCCGGGCUUAACUCGGAGCCUGCAGGCGAAACUGUGGUGCUGGAGUGUGGGAGAGGUGCGUGGAAUUCCCGGUGUAGCGGUGGAAAUGCGUAGAUAUCGGGAGGAACACCUGUGGCGAAAGCGGCGCACUGGACCAUAACUGACGCUGAGGCGCGAAAGCUAGGGGAGCAAACAGG
rnacentral:rRNA from 1 species